rnacentral:tRNA from 1 species
GCCCGUGUGGUUCAGUGGUGGGAACGUCAGCCCACAUACUGAAGGGUCAUGGGUUCAAUUCCCGGUCACAGUCA